rnacentral:rRNA from 1 species
AUGAGCAUCACGGCGGCGGCGGUGGUAGCGGAGCCGCGCGCGUUCGCCAUCGGGGCCGCGCCGGCCGUGGAGAUGGGCCCGGAGCUGGCGCCGCCGGAGCCGAGCCGCGGCCUUGGGCAGGACGGCGGCGUGGCGGUGGCGGCGGCGGAGGGGCGGGCGUCGCGGUUCCGGCGGAUCUGCGUCUACUGCGGCAGCGCCAAGGGGCGCAAGGCCAGCUACCAGGACGCCGCCCUCGACCUCGGCAAGGAGAUGGUGGAGAGGGGCAUAGACCUGGUGUACGGGGGCGGCUCCAUCGGCCUGAUGGGCCUCGUCUCCCACGCCGUCCACGCCGGCGGCCGCCAUGUCAUCGGGAUCAUCCCAAGAUCACUCAUGCCCAGAGAGGUAACUGGGGAUCCUGUGGGUGAAGUUAGAGCCGUGUCUGGCAUGCACGAGAGGAAGGCCGAGAUGGCUCGGUUUGCUGAUGCUUUUAUUGCCUUGCCAGGCGGCUACGGAACCUUGGAGGAGUUGCUUGAAGUGAUCACGUGGGCACAACUAGGAAUACAUAAGAAGCCGGUCGGUCUGCUGAACGUCGACGGAUUCUACGACCCACUGCUGUCGUUCAUCGACGUUGCCGUCAACGAAGGCUUCAUCACCCAGGAGGCGAGGCAGAUCAUCAUCUCGGCCCCGACAGCCAAGGAGCUAGUCAAGAAGCUGGAGGAGUACGUCCCCGAGUACGAGGUCGGCCUGGUCUGGGAUGACCAGAACCAGAUGCCAAGCAACAGCCUGGUCCCGGAGCCGCUGGAGACACCUGCGAUCACCUCGUCCUGA